GCCAAAUACAUGUUUGGAGAGAUGCUGCUGAACCAGCACUGCACUGACAGGGCUGCAUUGUCUACAAAUCACCGCUGACACCCGGAGGACAACCCGCGCUCGUUGCAUUCCACUCAAAGGGAUAGAAAUUCAGAAGUGGAGUUGCAACUAUAGAUCAGUGGAUCAUGAAGAUGUAGUAUACAGAUACAAUGGAAUAAUACCCGAUGUAAGGAAUAAUGAAACCAUGCAAUUUCCUGCGACAUGAAGAGAACUGGAAGACAUCAUUUGAAAUGAACUGGCAACUCUGCUGAGAUUUCUGCUGCUGCAAGCAAUUGAAGCUGUCCCACAGCCAGGUGUGUGUGUUCCAUCAUCGAGCACAGGAAAAAGGAGCGUGACUCCAGCAAGCAUUGUGACCAAGUUCGCAAGAUCUCAGACCACCGCAACAAUGGAGGGAAGAGAAAAUAAGACAAGUGAUUGUAUGGAACAUUUGUAAUGAGAAACACAUACACACACACACACACACAUAUACACACAACACAUCUAAGAGGAAAACAACCAAAACCUAUCAUCCUAUUGCUGAAAUUUUAAAAUAAAAUAUCACCCAGGGCUCAGGGAGACAGCUCUCCAAGGGCAGAGAGCUCAUGUUUGCGUGUUUGAUCCCUAUCACCACUGAGCGUGGACCCGUGGCCCUGAGAACUGCUGGGUAGGACAGGCAGCUAGAUCAGAGCACCAGACCAAGUACUCCUGGCCUCUGAGCACUACUGGCAGAGUCACUAUUUAAGCAUAUCUAAUUUGGGGCUGGAGUGAUAGCACAGCGGGUAGAGUGUUUGCCUUGCACGCGGCCGACCUGGGUUCGAUGCCCAGCAUCCCAUAUGGUCCCCUGAACACCGCCAGGGGUAAUUCCUGAGUGCAGAGCCAGGAGUGACCCCUAUACAUCGCCGGGUGUGGUCUAAAAAGCAUAUCUAACUUGGGAAAGUAGUGACUAACAUGCAAUUUAAACACCAGUUUUCAAAUAAUACAGUGUUAAACCGACGACCAUUAAUCACCGAACAAGAAUUCAACAAUACGAGGUUGUUCCAAUGAGAUGCUCUUAUGCUAAAUCCUCUCAUUAAAACGAGAUCAAAGAGGGCCAUACAAAGUAUAAAGAACUAAAGAUGAUGAGAUUAGCAUUAUUUAUAAAAUUUGAAGAAUGGCUUCUUUCAGGUGAUUAACACCAUUGCUCUCUCCCCAUUUAGAUUCUUUCUUUCCAUUGAAUAUGAAAAUAAAUGUAGCCUGGCACCCAAAGUCUAUUUGCCUCUUUACAAAGCUGU